rnacentral:rRNA from 1 species
UUUAUUGAGAGUUUGAUCCUGGCUCAGGACGAACGCUGGCGGCGUGCUUAACACAUGCAAGUCGAGCGAUGAAGCUUCUUCGGAAGUGGAUUAGCGGCGGACGGGUGAGUAACACGUGGGUAACCUGCCUCAUAGAGGGGAAUAGCCUUCCGAAAGGAAGAUUAAUACCGCAUAAGAUUGUAAUAUCGCAUGAUAUAGCAAUUAAAGGAGCAAUCCGCUAUGAGAUGGACCCGCGUCGCAUUAGCUAGUUGGUGAGGUAACGGCUCACCAAGGCGACGAUGCGUAGCCGACCUGAGAGGGUGAUCG